UACGAAGGGGGCAAGCGUUGUUCGGAAUUACUGGGCGUAAAGGGCGCGCAGGCGGCCGAUCAAGUCAGGCGUGAAAUUCCCGGGCUCAACCUGGGGGCUGCGCUUGAUACUGAUUGGCUUGAAUGCGGGAGAGGAUAGUGGAAUUCCCAGUGUAGAGGUGAAAUUCGUAGAUAUUGGGAAGAACACCCGUGGCGAAGGCGGCUCUUUGGGACGGUACUGACGCUGAGACGCGAAAGCGUGGGGAGCGAACAGG
rnacentral:rRNA from 1 species